rnacentral:rRNA from 1 species
AGUGAACGCUGGCGGUAGGCCUAACACAUGCAAGUCGAACGGCAGCACAGUAAGAGCUUGCUCUUACGGGUGGCGAGUGGCGGACGGGUGAGGAAUACAUCGGAAUCUACUUUUUCGUGGGGGAUAACGUAGGGAAACUUACGCUAAUACCGCAUACGACCUACGGGUGAAAGCAGGGGAUCUUCGGACCUUGCGCGAUUGAAUGAGCCGAUGUCGGAUUAGCUAGUUGGCGGGGUAAGGGCCCACCAAGGCGACGAUCCGUAGCUGGUCUGAGAGGAUGAUCAACCACACUGGAACUGAGACACGGUCCAGACUCCUACGGGAGGCAGCAGUGGGGAAUAUUGGACAAUGGGCGCAAGCCUGAUCCAGCCAUACCGCGUGGGUGAAGAAGGCCUUCGGGUUGUAAAGCCCUUUUGUUGGGAAAGAAAAGCAGCAGGUUAAUACCCCGCUGUUCUGACGGUACCCAAAGAAUAAGCACCGGCUAACUUCGUG